rnacentral:lncRNA from 1 species
UCUCAAACCUCAUCGAAUGACCUCCGAACUUAUGCUUCUUUAAUGAGAUAUAUUUGUGUAAGCAACAAGCAAAUCCAAUAUUGGUUUCUAGUUAUGAAAGAUAUUUGACUUUUCAGGUCAAUUCCAAGCACAAAAAUAUUAUGGGAAGACUGAGCUUUUAGAAAAUCUGAUGUACAUUUGGGAUGGAGAAUUUGGGUGAUUGUUAUAAAUCAUGAGUAGGUUUACAUCGAACUUACAAGAAUGAUUCCGGAUGAGUUGGGCUCAAGACUGGCUAGCUAUAUGGACCCUUAUACAUAUGGUCAAAGUGAAAGAGUUAUUCCCAGGGGGGUCGGGGCGCCGCGUUGUGGCCCAAAGACCAUCACGCGUGAACUUGAUGACUCGUGGUGGUGACAACGUGUGAAAAAUUCUUCCCAAACAUCCCUGCUUCCUUCUCCUUCAUAUGAUAUCAUGGGUGUGGUGAGUGAUGGGCACCCCCACUA